rnacentral:misc_RNA from 1 species
AUGUUUUCGCAAAAUGGCGCCAAACAAGAGCAACGUUUCUGUUUAUAUCGUGCUUUCUGUAUUUGUGAAAUUAUGAAUUAGCAGCUUAUUGGAUCGUAUUUCAUCGCCAGUAAAUGGUCAAGUCGAACGAUUUCCUGCAUAAUCUCGAUCUAUUUCGCUACAGUUCACAAUUUCGAUGUAAUUAUUGGCCGGUCACGGGACUGAGAGAAUAGGGGUUCACAUCACAGACGCCAUAGACGAUUAAUAAUCGAUAAUUCGAACUGAUACGAAAUGGAUGCCACAUUUACUAUGCUUCGCAAACGAUUAGAUUAUCAACAUUCCUAGGUUAAAUAUUGUUACUUUAGCGUUCCUAUUUUUAUAGUAAUUGGACUUUAACAGGAUUUCAAUUUGUUUUAUUAUUAAAAUUUCGAACAGAGAUUAGAGUUUAGAAAUUUUGAAUAGAGUUUCAUUUUUCAUUAGCUUAGACUCCUUAAACAACGAAGGAUAUAUUUUUAUAUUCCAAUUAAUUUUAUUCCUUUGAUUAUUCUACUUUAAUUAUUUAUAAUGAAAAAACAAGUUUGAUUUUAAAAUUUAACAUCAGAGUUUCAAUUGUUGGAGUAAUUAGAGUUUACUAGCAAUUUAAUCUUUCUAUUAUUAUUAAAGUUUACCACUUAGUUUUCAAAAUAUAUUAUUCACGGAUAUAUUAUUCAUAUAUGCAUAAUAAGUCAUAUUUUGUUAAAG